rnacentral:rRNA from 1 species
UACUUCUAAGGAAGGCAGCAGGCGCGCAAACUACCCAAUCGACAACGUCGGAGGUGGUGACGAGCAGUACUAAGGGUGCCGGUUUUACGGUCCCGUAGAAUGAACGAUGCACAGAUACUACGCUGAAUGCAAGAAGAGGGCAAGUCUGGUGCCAGCAGCCGCGGUAAUUCCAGCUCUUCGAGCAUAUAUUAAAGUUGUUGCGUUUAAAACGCCCGUAGUUGAGAUUGCUUGGUCAGGUGUCCAACGAGGGGGAGAGAAAGGGGGAGACGACAGGAAAAAAAAGAGAUGCAAUACGCAUGCUCAUCUGCGCUCCGAGAGAAAAAAGGAGAAGGAGAGGGGAAGGAGAGAAAGCGUGUGCACUUUUUACGAGUGCAUUCAACUUCUCAGCAAACUUCCUCCCUCUGGGAACCUCUCUCUCUCGAGGCGUGUGCUGGGUGUGUGUGUGAAGCAUUUCUUCUGCCUCUUCCACUUUUCUCUAAAACCCCUCUGGGUGCCUGCCUUGUCUUUUUGUUACCAUAAAGAAAUUGGAGUGUCUAUAGCAGGUCGUGCCCUUGUGGCUCAGGCCCCUGUACAUUGCAGUAUGGAAUAACAGUUCAGACCCGCGUCUGUCUGCUGGUCACGCUUCUGGGUGCGAAGUCAGUCGGUCCACUGGGCGAGGGAGUGCCUGCUGGGUCAGGUUCGUGGGGGGGUUGGCGAGGCUGCAUGGGUGUCGAAGGGGCGGCGUUGGGUCUGCUGUACACCGGCAGGCCCUGCGUUCGUCCGCCUCAUUUGUGUAUGCUUCCCGUCUUCUCUGUCCGCGGCCGCAUUGGCCCAGUGGGCGCCCCCGUUCGGGCUGUUCGGAUAACGUCUCGGGAGUCAGGUGUGGCGUUGAUGGUAAAUAGGGGCGGUUUCCGGGGGCAUAAGUAUUGGGCCGGGAGAGGUAAAAUUUUAUGAUCGGUCCACGACUACCAGAGGCGAAAGCGCUUGCCAAGGACGCUUUCAUUGAUCAAGGACGAGAGCUGGGGGAGAGAAGGAGAUCAGACACCUCUGUAUUCCCAUGCUGUAAACGAUGCCGACUAGGUGUGGGGGGGCUGCUCGUCAAAGGCACCCUCCGUGCCCCGCGAGAAAUCUGUAAGUAUUCAGGUUACGGGGGGAGUAUGGUCGCAAGGCUGAAACUUAAAGGAAUUGACGGAAGGGCACCACAAUUGGCGUGGAGCCUGCGGCUUAAUUGGAUUCAACGCCGUUAACCUUACCAGGCCCUGACUCACACGGGAUUGACAGGAUGCAGUUCUUUCGUGAUUGUGAGAGUGGUGGUGCAUGGCCGUUCUUAGUUCGUGGUGUGAACUGUCUGCUUAAUUGCGAUAACGGACGAGACCUCUGCCUGGUGACUGAGUGCCGGGCUCUCUGCCUCUCCCCUCUUUGCACCAGCUAACAGAGGGAUGGCGGGGGUAGGUGCCCCAGAGGGAAGUAAAGGGGGAAAGGGGGGAACGGGAGAAACAAACGGUGCGUCGUGCAUUGCAUUAAGUCCUGUGUGCGUGCAUGCUGCAUCUCUCUCUCUCUCUCUCCUGUCCUCCAGUGCUUCUUUCUGGUGUAAUCUGCCGCCGCCCUCCCCCGGUGCGUCUACGAGGAAGAGGUGGGUAACAAAAGAGCCCGCGCAACUCCUUCACAGGGACUAUUGCUCAUAAAGCGCCGGAAGCGUGAGGCAAUAACAGGUCAGUGAUGCCCUUAGAUGCCUUCUAUUGGGUUGCACGCGUGCUACAAUGGCGGGUGCAGUGUGUGGAGGCCAAGCCCGAGAGGGUGCGGCAAUCCUGCGAGGCCCCGUCGCGGUUGGGAUCGUCCCUUGCAAUUAUUGGUCGUGGACUGGGAAUGCCUCGUAAGCGCGUGCCAGUGAUCGCGCGCUGA